UGUGUAUAUAUAUAUAUAUAUAUAUAUAUAUAUAUAUAUAUAUAUAUAUAUAUAUAGGUAAACAGUAAAAAUAAUUACAGACAUGGACAAGAACAUGAAACGCCACAGAGACGACACAAGAACCACAGGACGGGACAUUCGAAGCCCUCAGUCAUCAGUCAAGAACCAGAUCAUCUUAGCAAUUUCGGCUGAUUAAUCUUGAGAUUGCUCCGAUAUGGCCAGCCCGCCACGGAAAUCUAAGCCAAGUGCAUUAGAUCCCCUGGAAGAAAGCUUCGAAUGUAUACAACACGAGGACGGAAAACGAACGAAGUACACGAACAAAAAUACAGAAUACGUGACAACAAUAAGAAUACAAAAACGUAAAAACAAUAACGGUAAAAAUAAAGUAUAAAAAAUAAACAACAAAACAAAACCAGGACGUAGGACAAGGGUCUUUCGACAGGACGAAUUGAGCAUGGGGCUGGCUUAUGAAGUUGUGCCUAAUGUCCACAGGGAGACGAACAAGUACGUGUUGCUUCAACGGCUGCUGGAACGAAAAGAGCGUUCAACAGCGGCUAGCGGUCACGUGAGAACAAAAGACAAGAGAAAGGGACAGAUGAAAAGAGAGAGAAGGUGGACGAGGGAGGAGAAGAAAGAGACAGAUCGAGGGGGCUGGAGGUGAGAGAGAUAGAGAAACGUAGAAGGGGGGGAAACGGAUGGAGAGGGAAAGAAAGGAGGGGGAAUAAGGGAGGAGAGAGAGAGAGAAAGAAAGAUUAAGAGUCGUAUCAAUGCUUGAGAAAAAAAUAUACUUAUCGUAUAAGGACAAUUGUGGAUACGUAGCCGCCGAUUAUAUAGGUAAACAGUAAAAAUAAUUACAGACAUGGACAAGAACAUGAAACGCCACAGAGACGACACAAGAACCACAGGACGGGACAUUCGAAGCCCUCAGUCAUCAGUCAAGAACCAGAUCAUCUUAGCAAUUUCGGCUGAUUAAUCUUGAGAUUGCUCCGAUAUGGCCAGCCCGCCACGGGAAAUCUAAGCAGUUGCUUGGGUUUGUUUCGACCCUUUAGAAUUGGAAUUUUUGAAAAGUAAAAAUUUUGCAUUAUGCAACUUGUUAUUCUCUUCAAGUGAACAUUUUCCCAGUUGAAAUACACCGAAAAAUGGUGACACAGCAGUCAAAAAUCGUAAAAAAUAGGGAUUUUGGUGUUAACAUGGUCCGAUUUGAAUUUUAUCUUCUACAGAAUGAAGAGCAAGCCUUCUUCUAUCAUACUCUCAAUUUUGGUCAACUUGCGCUGCAGGGUCUCGAAAGAGAUAGUGUUAGUUGAAGGCUACCAAACCUGCCACACACAGACAACUUCAGUUUUAUAUAUAUAGAUUUGCUACACACUACUUUCCAUCCUUAAUAAUGAAACUUGGUAGAUCCAAAAGUUAAACACACAGACACACACACAGAUACACACACAGACACACAAGUUGAGUUUUAUAUAUAUAGAUUUCUCAACGGGGAUUUCAGGGGAGAGUUUCAGGGAGUCGCUGGCGAUGUAUCGGAUGAUCAAAAAUCCGGCCUGCUAAAAUUUGGUUAAAGUGAUUCAAACUGCAGACUCAAGGCAAAAUGGUCACAUUUAAUUCUAAGCGUUAAAAGUGUUAUGAAAACAAUUGGUAUGUGUUCACAAAGUCCAAACGAUUAAUACGAAAAAGCCCUCCAGGCUACAUCCCGAAAAUUCAUUUAUUUGCCGAAUUACUACAAUGUUUACGGCGAUUCGUUUUUAUAUCUUGAUUUUUUAUUUUUCAUGCAAUUUACACAUGCUUGCACGAACUGCUGACUGAGUAAAGUUCACUAUUCAAUGCAUGGGAUAAGGCCUAAACAAACACAUUAUCGAUUUUUGCACUUGCGAGAUGAAUUUCGGAACAGAAAUAGCGCAGUUCAAUUUUCAUUCGCCUAAACUUUAAGUGACCCAUUUUUGGUAGUUCUACGAUUUGUUGGCUAGGAGAUGUACCGGGAAGUUAAACACACAGACACACACACAGAUACACACACAGACACACAAGUUGAGUUAUAUAUAUAUAUAUAUAUAUAUAUAUAUAUAUAUAUAUAUGUAUAUAUAUGCGUGUGUUUGUCCUCCAAACAUCGCUUAACAACCGAUGCUGGUGUGUUUACGGCUCCGUAACCUAGCGGUUCGGCAAAAGAGACCGAUAGAAUAAGUACUAGGCUUACAAAGAAUAAGUCCUGGGGUCGAUUUGCUCGAGUAAAGGCGGUGCUCCAGCAUGGCCGCAGUCAAAUGACUGAAACAACUAAAAGAGUAAAGAGUAAUUCAACAGUUAUAUCUGAUGUUGCCGUAUAACCGUCAAUCGCCAUGAUUUAUUGUUGUUGUUAGUGGUGAUAGUGCAAUUGCUGUUGCUGCUACUGCAGUUGUUUUUGAAGGCUUUCUGUGCAAUUUAAACCACCAUUUGCUCUUACUGGUACGUAUUUAGUCACUGAACCCUCUGCCUUUCGAUGCUGAAUUUUAAGGCUUUCCCCUCUGCAUAUAUCCUUUAAACCAAAAUUUACUCUGGCACUGACUGCGUUCCGUUGUGGUGCUACGAAAGUGAACAUUAUUCAAGGGUUGUUGUCUUCACCAAUGUCCUUGACGGUGAGCCAUGUCUCCCUACUUCCUAAAUAUUAUUGAACUAAUCUAUGGGUUAGUGUGUCACGGAUUAAAUUCGAACUGCGCUUAAGCCAAAUCCUGUUUUAAAGCUCACACAUAUGGUGUCACGUGCUCUCCCUCUCCUAAUAAUGAUUUCACUGAAAGUAUCUGCUAGAGCUGUUACCAGGGCUUCUUUAGAUGGAAUGCAAAAAGGCCCCGUGGUCUUAGCAAAAAGAGAAGUAAGUUACUCUUCUCCUCUCGCCCGUCUCUCAAAUAAACUGUGACAGGCUGUAACCUGUCUGGGGCACAAAAUCAUAUCUGGCUUUAGCUCUUUCAGCAAAAUGUACAAUAUCGAAGGAACGUUUGCCAAAGAUAGCGUUUCCUCACUCAUAUUUACAUUUGACAUAUGUUUGUGUAGUGUCUUCUUCUUCUUCUUCUUCUUCUUCUUCUUCUUCUUCUUCUUCUUCUUCUUCUUCUUCUUCUUCUUCUUCUUCUUCUUCUGUUGGCCUGCUCGCUUAGCCAGCGGGGUGGCGUCAUUUGAAGGCUAAAACAAUGCAAAGCGCAUUGUGACCAGCGAUUUGUUGCAACAUCUGAUAGUCUGGUCGGUCACAGUGAUCACGGUGAUAUAUAUAUAUAUAUAUAUAUAUAUAUAUAUAUAUAUAUAUAUAUAUAUAUAUAUAUAUAUAUAUAUAUAUAUAUAUAUAUAUAUAUAUAUAUAUAUAUAUAUAUAUAUAUAUAUAUGUGUGUGUAUAUAUAUAUAUGUAUGUGUGUGUAUGUUUGUGUGUCUGUGUUUGUCCUCCCAACAUCGCUUGACAACCGAUGCUGGUGUGUUUACGUCCCCGUAACUUAACGGUUCAGCAAAAGAGACCGAUAAAAUAAGAACUAGGCUUCCAAAGAAUAAGUCCUGGGGUCGAUUUGUUCGACUAAAGGCGGUGCUCCUGCAUGGCCACAGACAAAUAACUGAAACAAGUAAAAGAGUAAAAGAGCAUAUCCAUUGCCUAUUUGAAAAAAAAAUAUAGAGUGUCAUUUGAGAGACGUCUAGGUUUGGCUGCUAUUUCUAGCAGCCCACUUUGAAUCCCUUCACUAUUUCGUUUGUGUGACUUCCUCACUAUACUGAAAGGAAUUCUGAAAGACUUUCGAGGAGCAAAAAUGUUUUUAUUAUAAUUAAGCCUCUUCAAAUUUGACGGUUGCCUGGAGAAAUUAUUUUCCCCAACAUAGCUAAAAUAUUGGUUUCAAAUUUUGGCACAAGCCCAGCAUGUUCGGGGGAUGGGGAUAAGUCGAUUAUAUCGACCCCAGUGCACAACUGGUGCUUAUUUUAUGGAACCCGAAAGGAUCAAAAGCAAAGUCGGCCUCGGUGGAAUUUGACUCAGAACGUAAAGACUGACGAAAUACCGCUCUGCCAACUCGCCAUCUUAAACAUAGACAAAAUAUUCUUUUUUACUCUAGGCACAAGGCCCGAUAUUUUGGGGGAGGGAGGCCAGUCGAUUAGAUUGACUCCAGUAUGCAACUGGUACUUAAUUUAUCGUUCUCGAAAGGAGGAAAGACAAAGACGACCUCGGCGGAAUUUGAACUGAGAACGUAAAGACAAAUGAAAUACAGCUAACCAUUUCGCCCUGCGUGCUAACUUUUCUACUUCUUUACUGCUCAUAGCGGGGAAAAGCAAAGACAGACAAAGGGAUUAAGCCGAUAACAUCGACUCCAGUGCGUAACUGGUACUUAUUUAAUCGACCCCGAAAGGAUGAAAGGCAAAGUCGACCUCGGCGGAAUUUGAACUCAGAACGUAACGGCAGACGAAAUACUGCUAAGCAUUUCGCCCGGCGUGCUAACGUUUCUGCCAGCACGCCGCCUUAACAUAGACAAAAUAUUUAUAUGUAAAUCAAUUGCGAUCGUUCUCUUUUAGAUCUAUAACAAAUAUGUCAAAAGCAAUAUAGUAGUAUUUUGCUUUCAUUAUAUUACUAAAAAAAGGCGGCGAGCUGGCAUAGUCGUUAGCAUGCCGGGAUAAUUGCUUAGCGGCAUUUUGUCCACCUUUACAUUCUGAGUUCAAAUUCCGCCGAGGUCGACAUUACCUUUCAUCUUUUCGGGAUCGAUAAAUUAAGUACCAAUCAAGCAGUGGGAUCGAUGUAAUCGACUAGCUCCCUUCCUCCAAAUUUCACACCUUUUGCCUAUAGUUGAAAAGAUUUUAAUAUAUCACUAAGGCGGCAAGAAGCGUUAGUGCCUCAGACAAAAUGCUUAGCGGUUUUCUUCCGACUCUUUGCGUUCUGGGUAAAAAUUCUGCUGAAAUCGACUUUGCCUUUCCUCCUUCCAGGGGUGGAUACCAAAUGAACCUACGUCACCGCAAGAAACUGUAAAAAGAGUGCAGCAAUAUCAAACGCCCUCUUUCACCUAAAACUAAUCACGAUAGAAUAGCCAUUGAAAAAAUGAUGAUACUGGCGGUGCCUCAGCAUGACCGCAGCUUUUGGCCGAACCGCAUGAAAGAUAAGGAAUAUCUAUUUAUUCUUCGACCAGAGUGUCGGUGUGAGAAAAAGAUCUCAUUCACCCUCAUUUUAUAUCAUGAGGGAAGUUUGUGUGGGUGAAUAAUGUCGUCUACAAAUACCGAAGAAUUGCCUCUGUGUGUGUGUGUACGAGAGGAUGCUGAAAAGUUCCUGGCUUUAAGGGUGUCGCGAAAGGCCUGGUUGGAGGUCCAACCUUCCAAGUUUUUUUUUACAGUUUAGAAAAACUGAAGGACUGUUGCAAUAAGUGUGUGAAUUUGAGAAGAGAAUAUGUUGAAUAAAAUCAUAAUUAACUGAAUCCUGUAUUUUCUUUUACCCUAAGCCGGGACGUGGUAAUAAGACGUGGGUAAUAAGGCGGCGAGCUGGCAGAAACAUUAGCACGCCGGGCGAAAUGCUUAGCGGUAUUUCGUCUGCCGCUACGUUCUGAGUUCAAAUUCCGCCGAGGUCGACUUUGCCUUUCAUCCUUUCGGGGUCGAUAAAUUAAAUACCAGUUGCGCACUGGGGUCGAUGUAAUCAACUUAAUCCGUCUGUCUGUCCUUGUUUGUCCUCUCUGUGCUUAGCCCCUUGUGGGUAGUAAAGAAAUAGGUAUUUCGUCUGCCGCUACGUUCUGAGUUCAAUUUCCGCCGAGGUCGACUUUGCCUUUCAUCCUUUCGGGGUCGAUAAAUUAAAUACCAGUUGCGCACUGGGGUCGAUGUAAUCAACUUAAUCCGUCUGUCUGUCCUUGUUUGUCCUCUCUAUGUUUAGCCCCUUGUGGGUAGUAAAGAAAUAGGUAAUAAGAUACCAAAUUACUGAAGAUAAUGGGGUGUCAUACAUUUAGUACACAGGUUUCGAAUUUGUGCCCGAAUUCCUGCUUUAAGUGCAGGAUUGUUUGCCUCCCUAAAUGAAGAUAGGUUUUGCGCAAGCUAUCCAUCGAGCUCGUGCAUGCAUUGUUGACUGCCUUGUUCAUGCUUUUGGUUCAGUUAUAUAUCACACCAUUAACUUCGCCAUAGUAUUCAUUUGCCAAAAUUCAUUCAUAAAAUACUAGUCAACUAAACGUUGCCGUGCAGAGGGAUCGAACUCAGAACCACGUGGUUACUAAACUAAAUAAGUACCAGUUGAGUACUGGGGUUGAUGUAAUCUAGUGGUCCCUUCCCACCAAUUUCAGACCUUGUGCCUGUUGUAGAAAUAACUAUUAAAUAUAUUCUCUACAAAAGGUCAGCGCCGCUUGCUAUGUUGAUAUUUGUAUUACAAAGAAGUAACAGACAAAUGUCCCUCAAAUCACUAAUCCCCGUUUUGCAGAAGGAGGGACGUAUUGGAUAAGGUAGUCCUAGGUAUACAAAAAGACAAAAUUGUGGCGGAGGGGGGAUGCUUUGAAGGUUCAUUCGAUCAGGACUGACCUUGGAACGGGGUGGCAAACAACUGAAUAAGAAUCUGCAUUACACACACACACACACACACGUAUGUAUGUAUGUAUGUAUGUAUGUAUGUAUGUAUGUAUGUAUGUAUGUAUGUAUGUAUGUAUGUAUGUAUGUAUGUAUGUAUGUGCGCGCGCGUGUAUAUGUAUAUAUAUAUAUAUAUAUAUAUAUAUAUAUAUAUAUAAUAUAUAUAUAUAAACGUAUAUAGAUAAAUAAAUAAAUAUAUAUAUCACGUUGAAAGCACCGGUUCUCGUCUGAUCACCGAAGUUAAGCAACGUCGAGCCUAGUCAGAACUUAGAUGGCUGACCGCUUGGGAAACCUAGGUGCAGUAAGCAUAGCACAUUGCAUAAAGGCGGUGCUCCAGCAUGGCCGCAGUCAAAUUACUGAAACAAGUAAAAGAAUAAUAAAAGAAUAAAAGAAUAUAUAUGUAUGUAUAUAUUGUAGUAUAUAUAAAUGGAUAUAUAUUUAUAUAUAUAUGUACAUAUAUAUAUAUAUAUAUAUAUAUAUAUAUAUAUAUAUAUAUAUAUAUGUAAAUGUAAAAAAAUACAAACUGGGACAAGAGCGUGAAACAUUUAGAAGACGAUACAAAAAACAAGGACGGGACAUUCGAAGUCUUCAAUCUUCAGUCAAGAACCGGAUCAUCUUCGCAAUUUCGACUGAUUAAUCUUGAGAUUGCUCCGAUCUGGCCAGCCCCAAAGGAAAAUCUAAGCCAAGCGCAUUAGAUUCCUUGGAAGAAAGCCUCGAAUGUAUACAAAACAAGGACGGAAAAACGGACGAUGUUACACGAAUAAAAAUACAAAAAUACGUAAAAACAAUAAUGAUAGCACGAAUAAGAAUACAAAAAUACGUAAAAACAAUAAUGAUAAUAAUAAUAACAACAAAAACAGGACGUCACAGACAAGCGUCUUAUAUGAAUAAUAUAAUACAUCUAAUAUUAUUAAUAAUAAUUGAUUAUUGUGCAAGCUUACAAAUGUAAAUAUGUAUGUAAAUUCAAGUGUAUAUAUAUGUAUUUAUGUAUAUUUAUAUAUGUAAUGCAUAUGUCUAUGUAUAAGUUUGUGAAUGUGUGCGUAUUUAUUUAGAACUUAACCUUAUGUACUUUCUAAAAUCUCUGACGAAGCCUAGAGAAACACCCAAGAACCUCAAUUUCAUCUACUUAUUACUUCAGUCUACUGGAGGAAUAAAGGUAGAAUUAGGUAUUUUUGCCUCUUGGCUGAAACAGCUGUAAGAUAUUUUUCCCAAUUUAUAUUCCUGUAUGUUAUAUUUUUAAUAAUGACUGGUAUCCUUAUAUAUUAAUAUAUUUUAUAUGUAAAGCAUAUGUUAUACAUGUAUGUAUGUAUAUUCUUGCAAUUGUCAUUUUAGUAAAUAAAUAAAUAAGUUAACAUAAUGUCUAAAAGUUGAUGAACCACAUAUUGAUCCCCGCCAUUUUCUUAUUGCUCUCUCUCUCUCUCUCUCUCUCUCUCUCUCUCUCUCUCUCUCUAUAUAUAUAUAUAUAUAUAUAUGUGUGUGUGUGUGUGUGUGUGUGUGUGUGUGUGUGUGUGUGUGUGUAUGUGUGUAUGUCUGCACGUGCAUAUAUGAAAUAAAUGAAUAAAUAAAGAAAAUAAUGUAAAAACAAUGCAAUAAGAGUAGACAUGUGUUCAGAUUAGCGGAGUUUACUUGCAAAGCUUCUUACGUCAUAGAGAGAAAUCUAUCUGGUGCGAAUAAUUUAGUCAACCCCAUUAUAGAACCCAGCCUAGUAAUUUUUAAUGAUUAGUAUACAUUAAGUAUUAUCAAUAAUCGGCUUUUUAAUCUUUAUUUUCAAAUAAUUUACCUACUUUUCAAGAGCGAAUCUUCACCGUAUUUUGUCACGCUAUACAAAUUAAAUAAUUGCCUUAAUAUAAGUAGAUUCAUUUACAAUACGUAUAAAGGAAUUCUAUGAUAAUAAGAGUAAUAAUAGAGGUUUAUAGUGUUUAUCUAGAAUAAUUGGCGUGCAAUAGCUUAGAGAUUCUCAAUCAAUACCGAAAAAACAGUUCCUGAAAUCAUUUCAGAUAUAGCUUUACGAGCAGAGGUACCUGGAGCUUUUAGUUAAAAGAGCUAAAAGAUUUCUUUUUGAAAAUGGCAGAUUCGGUUUCUCUGACAGUUCCUGAAGCCCCACGAAGAAAAUCUUCCUCGCCACCAAAACUUGCUGGUGGUGGAGAUACCAAACCAGUUUCCCCGUUUCAAAUUUUGUCAUUUAAAAUGUUUAUGGUUGUCAUUUAUCUCAGUAUCGGUUUUGGACUUGCAUUCUUUCUUGGCAUCUAUUACCUUUUUCUGUGGGAACCAGUACGAGGAAAUUACAGCCAACACCAUAUAUAUAUCGGACAUUCUUCAGCAGUAUUCCACCCUCAAUGAAAGAAACAUAAAAAUCAAAGAAAUUUAGACGCUAAGAAAGGUUCGUUGUUUUUUGAGUAUUCUUCAUGUUAACUUUUAAAUUUAACCUACAUGCUUAGAACCACUCACACACCCACGUUAUAAAUAAGUAAACUUGUAUAUGUGCUAUGUAUGUAUGUAUGUAUGUAUGUAUGUAUGUAAGUUUGCAUGUAUGUAUGUGUGUCGUUAUUCAGUUUUAUUUCAAGAUUUAUGCCAAUAGAGAAAGAGCCGGUUUCUAACCGAGAUCCAAGGCUCCUUCAUAGGAAUUUCAAUAUCAACCGGGUAUUUUUGUAGGUGAGUAUGUGUAGGGUUGCAUAUUUUGUUUUGUGUAUUCUCAUGCAGGUAGUUUCAUGCUUCUGGAUAGUUUUACUGAUUUUUACAGUUCCACUACGAACGAACCUACGUAUGUAUGUAUGUAUGUAUGUAUGUAUGUAUGUAUGUAUGUAUGUAUGUAUGUAUGUAUGUAUGUAUGUAUGUAUGUAUGUAUGUAUGUAUGUAUGUAUGUGAUAAAUUUUCACAAUACGAACAGUUUUUACCCCAAAGAUUCAUGACACUGUUUUUCAAAUUAUAUUUUUUUAAAUAGUUAAUAUCUUUUAAGAAAAUCUUUCCUUCAAUAUUGUGAAAAUUUUUUUGCAGAAACUUUUACAUAUAUGAUAAUUUUCAUCUACCAAUAAAUGUCAAUGUUGUCCCAUUCAUGUUUUACAACUUCCCAAAAUUGAUCAGAGUUUGUCAGUUUACUUCCCACGAGUUUGUCCCCUGUACAACUCCAACUAUUGUCUACAGGAUUCAAAUCCAGUCUCUGAUCUGACUAAAAUAUAAUUAACAGGCAGUUUUUCUAAAGGCAUUUUUGUUUUUGUUCCGUUUAUUGUUUAGAAAAAAAAAAAAAAAACACCUGCUUGUUGAAAUAAAACUUCAUUGGCACUCUUUCCUCCAGGAAAUAAUAUUGCAACUUAGCUUGAAAAAGUAGUCCUCUCUCUAACAAUUUUAUGAAUUCCAAGGCAGUAAUUGAUUUUUCACCAAGAACUGCAGAUUUUUCACCAAGAACUGCACCAUAUCAGUUUUAUUUCAAGAUUUAUGCCAAUAGAGAAAGAGCCGGUUUCUAACCGAGAUCCAAGGCUCCUUCAUAGGAAUUUCAAUAUCAACCGGGUAUUUUUGUAGGUGUGUAUGUGUAGGGUUGCAUAUUUUGUUUUAUGUAUUCUCAUGCAGGUAGUUGCAUGCUUCUGGAUAGUUUUACUGAUUUUUAUAGUUCCACUACGUACGAACCUACGUAUGUAUGUAUGUAUGUAUGUAUGUAUGUAUGUAUGUAUGUAUGUAUGUAUGUAUGUAUGUAUGUAUGUAUGUAUGUAGGUAUGUAUGUAUGUAUGUGAUAAAUUUUCACAAUACGAACAGUUUUUACCCCAAAGAUUCAUGACACUGUUUUUCAAAUUAUAUUUUUUUAAAUAGUUAAUAUGGCGGUGCCCCAGCAUGGCCACAGCUCGUGAGCUGAAACUAGAAUCAAUCAAUCAUAUCAAGAUUCCAAAAUUUCUAUGCUUCAUAGUCAUUGAAAUACAAUUAACAUAGAAUAUCAAACAAGGCAAUGUUCACUAAAAGACAGUAUUCAUAACAAUCUUGGUUUAUUGCUCCAGAAGACUCUGUAAAGCAUUGCUGAAUUUCAGUUACCAUUCCUGGUAAAAAAACAUAUGCCACUUUUCUUUAAAUUUUCUGGAUUAACAGAGAUGUUGUAGCAAAUAAUUUACAGAUAAAAUCUACAUCUUUAAGCCGUUUUACAAUUAUCUUUUUGGAGGCAGUUAUAUUUCCAGCAGUUUCCUCUGAAAAACUAAGGCUUUCUGUCUCUAUAGACUCAUUUAGUUCCAAUCCUGUCUAAAUAUUGUCAUCCCUACAACAGAGCUAAUUUCCUGGAAAUAUAGGUGCAGGCGUGCCUGUGUGCUUAGAAAUUUACUUCCCAAUUACAUGGUUCCGGAUUCAGUCGCACUGCGUAUAACCUUGGACAAGAGUCUUCUACUAUAGCCUCAGGUUGACCAAAGCCUUAUGGGUGGAUUUAGUAGACGGAAAGCAAAAGAAACCUAUGGUAUACACACACAUAUAUAUAUGAUGUGUGUUCGUUCGUGUGUGUGUGUGUGUCUUUGUGCAUAUGUUUGUCCCUCACCAUCACUUGACAAUCGGUUUUAGUGUAUUUAUAAGUCCCCCGUAACUUAGCGUUUCGGCAAAGAAACCGAUAGAAUAAGUACCAGGUUCUACAACAAAUAAUAAGUUCUGGGGUCGAUAAGUUCGAUUUAAAAUUCUUCAAGGUGGCACCCUAGCAUGGCUGCGGUCUACUGACUGAAACAAGUGAAAGAUAAAAGAUAAAGAGAAACCCAUACUUUCUAUGUUAAAUAGAGAAAUAUGUAUUUUGUUCUUUGUUAGCUUGUGCAGGGAGACCACUAAAUAUGUUGUGAUUGCUUCAGAAAGAAUUGUAAUUGGAUUCUUAUUAUCCACACUAACAUGCAAUUUCGUUCUGUUUAAAAGAGUAUAUCUAACACAAACGGAAGAUCUACCUUUAUUUAGAUAGUUAAGCUAUAAUUAGAGCUAUUUAUACACAACAUUUGAUGUAAAAACAAAAAUAACAACAACAAAAAAUCUUGUAUACUUCAAUUUAAAAGAAACCUGAAAAUAAACUUAGUAAUAUUUAACCCUUUGCCUGUCCAAAGCAUUUUUAUAACUUUUUUCCGAGAUGUCCAAGUUUGUUUCCAAUGUUUUAGUUAGUCUUUGUUAUAUAUAUAUAUAUAUAUAUAUAUAUAUAUAUAUAUAUAUAUAUAUAUAUAUAUAUAUUGAGACUAUCAGAAUGAUACAGAUUCUCUGAUAGAGAAUCCAAUAAGUUUCGAUUAAGGUUGUUUGUCGGUUUUUAGUCUACAGAGAAAUGGCUAAAAAUUUGCCCUGUUUAUAAUUAUACAAGAUGGACAAAAUUAGAGAACGUAUGGUGUAAAAUUCAAAAAAGUAAAAUCUGGCAACACUCCGAUCAAUGUAAACUAAGUUGACCUAACAGUGCAAAGAUUUAUAUUGAACAAUAGGGAAUUAACAAACAUGGAAAGCCGACGUAAAGUUGAUGUAAGUCUCAGAAAGCGAGCGAUCAGUUUGUAAAAAGAAGGAAUGGCAAUUUCUGCUAGCCAGAGAUAUUAACAGAUCAAAGAGUAUUGUUUCAUGAAUACUCAAGCUUUAUGAGGAAACAAGCUCGUUUGUGUCAUUAGAAAAACGAAAGAGACCAUGGAAGACAAGUGUUUCGCAAGAUACUGCAGCAGGAAUUUCUCGCCAAGUAAAUCGUGAUUACGGAAUGAAUAUCUCUCGGAAGACUGUGGCUUGUCAUUUGAAGGAAGUCAGACUUUAUGCUCAUUCUCCUGCCACUAAACCUCUCAUCAGUGUGAAAAACUGGAAAGCGAAGUUAGUCUUUGCCAAUGAGCACAUACUUUGAACAAGCGACAACUGGUCGCAUGUGUUCUUCAGUGACGAAAGCAAGUUCAAUUUGGUUGGCUCUCGUGGUAGGCAAUAUGUGAAUCAUCUUAAAAGUGAAAGAUUGCUCCAGUUUUAAUAACUGCCGCUGAAUCACAGGCUCUUGCGAAACACGGUCUCUUUCGUUUUUCUAAUGACACAAACGA
rnacentral:lncRNA from 1 species